rnacentral:rRNA from 1 species
UACGGGGGGGGGCAAGCGUUGUUCGGAAUUACUGGGCGUAAAGGGUGCGUAGGCGGCGCGGUAAGUCGGGUGUGAAAUCUCGGAGCUUAACUCCGAAACUGCAUUCGAUACUGCCGUGCUUGAGGACUGGAGAGGAGACUGGAAUUUACGGUGUAGCGGUGAAAUGCGUAGAUAUCGUAAGGAAGACCAGUGGCGAAGGCGGGUCUCUGGACAGUUCCUGACGCUGAGGCACGAAGGCCAGGGGAGCAAACCGG